rnacentral:lncRNA from 1 species
CUGCAUAGACGACAGUGGUCAAGCCCACGGUGUUGGCGAGACAUGGCAGGACCCUGACGACCCUUGUACGACCCACACUUGUCUCAGGGACGGGACGACCGCUACUGCGAGCUAUGGCUGCCUCGAUUGCUCAACCAACCCCUCCAGCUGCAUCUGGGCCCGUCCUGAGGGGGAAUGCUGCGGGGGCUGGAACUGCUCAAAUCCCUUCGCAGAUCUUGACAAAGCGGACGACCCGUAUUGUGUCUAUCCAGUGACACUCAGUUAAACGUACCACUAGGAAGGAAGCUACUGACAUUUCAUUUAACUUAUUUGAAGAGAUUAUCUAAGGCAACGAAAGAUUUCAGUUUGUGAGUUUAUUUGGUGGCUGUUGUCUUUGAUUGAGAAAAAUGAUAAGAAAUUGGACUUUUAUUGGCUCUCUUUAUGUGAUUUAAUAAGAUAUAUUUCUGUAUAUGAGUUUAUCUUAAUAUUUUGUUUAAGAAACUGAUGCAAUGUAAGAAAACAGAAGCAAAAUAUACUUCGUUAUAACUGUUCAUUUGCUUUAAGAUACCAGCUGAGUUAACGAUAGCAAAAUAAACUUCAUUUCAUUGAUGAAAUCUGUUUAAUGUAGUAAAACAAUAAAUAAUUCGACUUAAAUC